CAUCGAUAACAUACGGGAUAUUUCUCUGUGUCGAUUGUUCAUCUGCUCAUCGAAAUCUCGUUGUUCAUCCCAGUUUCGUGAGGUAAAUUUUGGGAUUUUUGGAGGAACACAAUCUUAAUCCAAUUUUUAGCAUCUGGUUUGCUUACAGGUAGAGUUUGAGCGUUUGAUAGCUUUAGAUCUGAAAGUGUAGGAUUACAUGUCCUCUUAGUUUUUUUUUAAUGUCCUCAGUACAAUGACGACUUGAAAUCUGAAAUAGAAGGAAGAAGAAACUCGAAAACGAAGAAGAAGCCCGAAACUUUGGGCUCCGCUAGCAUUGGCGGUCUAAAAGGGUUUUUUAGGCAUCCUCAUUAUGUUUCUGCCCUUCGGAAGGAUGUGACAGAUUUGAUGCAGAAACUUCGUGGCAAAGAUGCCGAAGCCAUCCCUUGGGCCACCCGAAAGGAAUGGGUCGACAAUAUCUGUGGCCGAGUCUUAGCAGCUAAAUUUCGGGUUGAUGCGCAAGGGAAUCGUAAAGAUCAAGUUGCAAAGCUGCGGAAUGAUACGAGGGACAUGUUGGAAGUCUUAGUAAAUAAGAAGAUUUGGUUGCCAUAGCAGAGAGGAUGAGCACUGUUAAGCACAAGAUUCUUGUUUUGUCUGGUAAAGGUGGGGUUGGCAAGAGCACAUUCUCUGCUUAGCUCUCCUUUGCCCUUGCUGGAAUGGACCAUCAAGUAGGCCUUAUGGACAUUGAUAUCUGCGGCCCAAGCAUGCCGAAAAUGUUAGGCCUUGGAGGGCACGAGAUUCACCAGAGCAACCUCGGAUGGUCCCCUGUCUAUGUGAAAGAGAACCUUGGUGUCAUGUCCAUUGGUUUCAUGCUCCCAAACUCUGACGAAGCUGUGGUCUGGAGAGGUCCCCGCAAGAACGCUCUCAUCAAACAGUUCUUGAAAGACGUCUACUGGAGAGACAUCGAUUACCUCGUGGUUGAUGCCCCACCGGGUCGGGUUUCAGUAACCUUAGGACUCUUGUGGUUCGAGAGAUUCUAAGUACUCUGUCAUGAGCCAGCAAUGUGUAGUCAUGUGUCCUUUGAUUUUCUAUGUUGGAUUUGAAUUAUCUAACUUGUUUAGGAUCAGGACAGCAGUUGGGCCUUCUGAGUUUAUUCCAUGUUUUGUGGUACAAAACGCAGCCUCUGUUUUGAACAUCGUUUUGGUUAAAAUUUUCAAAUAGGUGUUCUUAGUUUUAAA